GUGAGGCCUCUGUGACAUCACAGGGUUAAUCCCCACCCUACUACAGCAGCAGUCUUGGUCUGAGGCGCAACUCAGUGUCCACAGAGCAGGACUGGGAGUCAAAGCUUGCCCAUGUGUCUGGAAAAACUGACCAUAGACAAAGGCUAAUGACAAUGUAGUUUUGAGCACACAUGGACUCCACUGCCUGAAGCCUGAAGAGAAAAACAGGUACAGGACCAUCCAAUGAGGCAAUGUACCCAGGCUAAAAUCUGAACACUAAAAAGCCAAUGUAUACCUACUGAAAGUAGUGAAGGCCAAAUAUGGACCCUGAGAAUCCUGAGCUAAAGGUUGACAUGAAAGUACCCCAGGUAUAAGCAUAAACCUAAAGAUACAUGAUGCAUGAACCUCAAGUAAGAGGUGUUUCCUGGUCUACCAUUGACCAUUGUCCUGCCAAGGCCCAAAUGUAGAAGAGAAGUGUGACUGGGACAAAUCCUGCAUUGAAAGAGACCUGCACAAAAAAAAAAUUGAGUGGGCUAAAAGUAGAGUCUAAAGAAGCCCAGGCCCAAAUCAAGAAUAGAUUGGGCCCCUGGGCCAAUCCCUGAGUAUGAAAAGGUCAGUCCUACAGACAGAUAAUAUAUUGACAUGGGUAAAUUAUUCAAAUAAUAGAGGCCCAGGCCAGUCCAAGAAGAGGGAUGUGCCUGGGCCAAACUCUGACCCUGUAGAAGCCCAGGUCCAAAGCAAGAAGAAAUAUGGGCCUGGGCUAAUAGCUUACCCUGAAGAAGCCCAGGCCCAAAGCAAGAAGAGCUAAGGGCCUGGGCUAAUGCUACACCCUUAAGAAUCCCAGACCCAAAGCAAGAAGAGAUGUGGGCCUGGGCCAUUCCCUGAAACUUAAGAUGCCUGGGCCCAGAAAGAGAUGAUAUAUGGGCCUGGGACAAUCCCAAAAAUGAUAGAGGCCCAGGUUAAACCACAAAAGUAAUAUGCCUGGGCUAAACCCUAACCCUGAAGAAGCCUGGGCCCAAACCAAGAGGAGUUGUGAGCCUGGGUCAACACCUGAAAUGACAGAGGCCUAGGAAAAACCAAGAAAUGGAGUGAGUGCAACCAAAUUCAACCCCUGAUUCUCAGUACAAUUAGUAAAGUAAAAUCAUUCUGGGUUAACCCCUCACCAAAGAGAUCUGGGCCCAAACAAAGAGCACUGUGCCCACACCACAUCUAAAGUGAAAAACAUUGUGGUUAAGAGUAUAUACCAUGAGGCUCUCUGAUCCAAGGCCUUAGUUUCAAUUGGUAUACUACAACCAAGUAGACAUAUGCCGGCUUGAACAUCGAUAACGUUGGACUUGCCCACAAUACUUUCUGUACUAAUGGCUGAUAUAAAUGGACAACCUGAGUAUUUAAUAUGUGCUUCUAACACAUAUACUUCAUUCAAUCCAGGCAACAUCCUCAACAUGUGAGCAAGGAAGAUACCCUCACCAUAAUACAACCAGGGCUCACUAAAUAACCUAUCAGUGUAGACAGUGUAGAUCAGAUGUAGACAUCAAUGUAGACCAAAAAAGGUGUUAUGCUUCACCCUGUAGCUGUCUGACACAAGAACUUACCUUGACUUAGAUUGAUUUUUUAUUUUUUUUGGAAACAAAUAUUUCUUGAAUGUACCUGUAAGGAAGAAUAUUGGACUAAUCAUAGUUGGUCUUGUUCUGACUAACAUUUGGACACAUCAAAUCCUCGAAGAACCAGAUCUUUAUGAUCACCUGAUUAUUAACACAGGUGCAAGGACUUAUACAGACCUCAAAGGAACCCGGCUGCUCCUUGAGCCCCCAAAGUCUGGGCUAAUAUCAUCAUCAAGGGUGUGUGGACCAUACCUUCUUUCUAUGCAAUCUAGGACAAAAUCCUACCACAAAGGAGUGAUACCUUAAAGGGACCAAACCUCACCUUAAUGACCAAAGGAAAUGGACAUACCCACGACCCUGACCUGGUCUGACCACCAGGCAUUACCUUCAUGCUAGUUUAUUUUGUAGGAUAUCAGUGGGAACUCGGGGCUGUUUGACCACCAAGAACCUUGGGUCAAAUUUCAAUUGUGUUUGGGCCACACCCACUCUUCUUCCAACCCAGGCUCCAUUAACAAUACAGGGGAGCCAGGACCAAAUGACAUCCUUGACUGUGUCUGAGCCACAAAUGACCAUCAACCCAUGUGGGCAGAUCUUGUACUUAGGGGUGUGUGGGCCGCACCCUUAUUUCAAGUCUGACCACAUGCUGUCUGGACUCCAAGAAAUACAGGAGAAGUUAAUGUGAGUGUGAGUUAGCCCGCAAGAAACCCUCCAACAAGAAUGGACCCACUGUACUAACAAAAGCAUUGAUGGUUUAAUCAUUGAAUUUCCACAUAUUACCUUCAAGAUGUAUAGACUACGCAGCUAAGGCAACCAUGCUCAAAUGAGGGAGUCAAGACUACCUCACAGCCUUCACGACCAUCUGGGUCACAUUUGAAUAUCAAAUAACAGGCACACAUUGGGAUAGAGGGUGUGUGGGCCGCACCCAGGAAUCCCUUGUGCUCAGGUUUUGUCAGGAUUACAACAGAUCAAGGACAGCACUUUGAUGUCAAGUGUGACUUAGAACACAUAGUACUCCAGGAAGGUUGGACACAUUUUAACACCAUGGGAUGGUGGUCUGCAGAAUGACAUCAUAGAAAAAUACCAUAAAGUGAUAUCGAUGGGAUCCUGCCAGCCAAUCAAUAUCAGUGUGAGCUGGGGGCUAACUUACCACCAAGAAGCCUGGGUCAAAAUUAACUUUGAGUGUUGUGGACCUCACCUCUCUCCAUCAAACUCAAGAGAUAAGCUUAACUAGGAGGAUCCAGGACCACAAAACAUGGCCUUCAUGAUGUCUGGGUCACACCAGAGAAACAACCGGGGCAGACUUUACCAUGAUGGGUGUGUGGGCCGCACCCAAGUGUCAUGAUUUGUCCAGCCACUAUCUUGUCUACAAGAGAUCAGGACAAGAUGAUCUCAUGUGUGACUUAGCCAACACCAAGAACUCACAAGAAAUUGGAACAACCACAACAACCAGCAUUAGUGGUCUGCUAUGUGACUUUAGCCUCAUGAACUUCACAAACCUCACAAGACUAUGGUCCAAACCCUCUUAGUCUGACAUCCCAGGUUCCCUUCCCAUGCCCUAUUGACCUUGGUUCUCAACCUGACCUGAUUAGAAACACCAAGUAACCCACUGGGUUAAGAAUGUGAUGGAACACUAGUCUAGACAUAACCUUAAUGCUAAUGAGCAAUGGGAAACCUUGAAGGCCCUCCUCUGGAGGCAUGUUUUUGGCAUGCUCACUGUCUGGAAGUAGUUACUGAGGAUUCCUUAAACUCUCACCAGAGCCUGCCUAAAGGAAGAUGGAAUUAUACAGUGAUUUCUAUAAAUCUCUGCCUUCAUCUUCUGUAUAGAAAAUAGUUCUGAAGAUGUGUAGUCUUAUAUUAUUCUUAUUGUGCAUUUCAUGCCCUAGCCUUAUGUAUAUAGUAUUCAAUAAAUGUGAGGUUCAUCUGGAA